rnacentral:rRNA from 1 species
CGCGUAGGCGGCGCCGGAAGUCGAGUGUGAAAGCCCCGGGCUCAACCUGGGAAUUGCGCCCGAGACUCCGGUGCUUGAGUUCGGGAGAGGAGAGUGGAAUUCCCAGUGUAGAGGUGAAAUUCGUAGAUAUUGGGAAGAACACCAGUGGCGAAGGCGGCUCUCUGGACCGAGACUGACGCUGAGGCGCGAAAGCGUGGGGAGCAAACA